rnacentral:rRNA from 1 species
GAAAGGGAUGCUAAUACCGCAUACGUCCUACGGGAGAAAGCAGGGGAUCUUCGGACCUUGCGCUAAUAGAUGAGCCUAAGUCGGAUUAGCUAGUUGGUGGGGUAAAGGCCUACCAAGGCGACGAUCUGUAGCGGGUCUGAGAGGAUGAUCCGCCACACUGGGACUGAGACACGGCCCAGACUCCUACGGGAGGCAGCAGUGGGGAAUAUUGGACAAUGGGGGGAACCCUGAUCCAGCCAUGCCGCGUGUGUGAAGAAGGCCUUAUGGUUGUAAAGCACUUUAAGCGAGGAGGAGGCUACU